rnacentral:lncRNA from 1 species
CAGGCUUUUCGUUGUGAUGUCGCUUAAGACCCAUCCGUAAGCCCCGGCCAGCUAAGUUUCUGAACGCCGUUGUCUCCCGCUCGCCUAGCGUAGUAGCGACUACUGAACGGCUCCCUGACUUAGCUAUUGCUGCUCAUUGGACCAUAUGAUCACUCGGCUACACAGCUGAUGCCUGCUGGACUAUUUACUAACGCGGUACCUCUUUUUGUUUAUCUGUCGGCACCAGCCUCGAACUCAGGUCCUGUGUGUCCCUAACUGACCCUCUCUGCCCAUUCAUUGCCAUCUACCUGUUGUUGUCUAAGCUCUCCCGAUCAACACACGUAAUUGCUUUAUGCCUCUCUCUAAUGUCAAUAUGCCUUGUCUACUGCUGUCUCGGUUAGUACUUAUUGUUUUAUUUCACUGUAGAGCCCCCAGUACCGCUCAACAUGCCUUAGAUAGCUCUUUUGUCCCACCCCCCAGACAUGCGGAGACCUCACCUGGCUUAAAUGGUUCCUCCAAAGAUGCAAUCUCUCUCAUUGUCACUCAACGCCUAGGUUUACCUCCACUGUACACACAUCCUACCAUACCCUUGUCUGUACAUUAUACUCUGAAUCUAUUCUACCACGCCCAGAAAUCUGCUCCUUUUAUUCUCUGUUCACAGUGCACUAGACAACCAGUUCUUAUAGCCUUUAGCCGUACCCUUAUCCUACUCCUCCUCUGUUCCCCUGGUGAUGUAGAGGUUAACCCAGGCCCUGUAGCCCCCAGUACCAGACCUAUUCCCCAGGUGCUCUCAUUUGUUGACUUCUGUAACCGUAAAAGCCUUGGUUUAAUGCAUGUUAACAUCAGAAGCCUCCUCCUUAAGUUUGUUUUAUUCACUGCUUUAGCACACUCCGCCAACCCUUAUAUCCUAGCCGUGUCUGAAUCCUGGUUUAGGAAGGCCACCAAAAAUUCAGAAAUUUCCAUCCCCAACUACAUUUUCUGUCAAGAUAGAACUGCCAAAGGGGGCGGAGUUGCAAUCUACUGCAGAGAUGGCCUGCAGAGU